ensembl:lncRNA
AGAAAAUGCUCCAAAGGACCUCCACCACCAAUGGGAUACCUUGGGAGAAGGAACCCAAACCUGGCAGGGCUGUCCAGAGACCCGUGGCCAAGUCCGCGGGGCUGAGUGGGCCAUGGGGUCUACUCUGUACAGAGGCUGCGGCAGUGCCCCAUCAGCACACAGAGCCAGCCCUCAUGUCCACGAAGAUUCAGGACAAGACAAGCAGGAGCUGGAGAAAGCUUCUCUAGAAUGCACUCACAGCCAGGACAGUCUUUCCCACAUCCACCCUGCAGGUCUGACACAGAUCAGGCCAUAGGGAAGCAGUUCCUCACCGGUGAAGGCCCCUGAUGGCCACCACCAAGUUGAGGGCAGCCCUGCAAACUGCAGCAGAGCUGGCACUGGGACCCGCCACGGGUCGGGCCUUGAGCUGCGGCUUUGCAGCUGUGAGGCAAGUUAGAAAACCUCUUCCCAGGGGAGUGAUUUUCAGAAGAAUCCAGUAGACAGCUUGAGUCGGCCUCCAAAACCAUCCAGCACAGCAAAAAUCCUGUGCUAAGCCGCCUGCAUGCAGAUGUGACACCCGCUGCCAGCUGCGCCCCGUGGCUCUCCCUGCCCGCUGCCCCCAGGAGGAGUGCAGGCAGCCCAUGGGCUACAGAACACAUCUGCAAACAGAGGCUGCCGGGCCAAGCCAGAGCGGUGUCCUGUGAAAACCACCCCAUCUCCUGGGAUGCUGCAGCUGUGAACAAACCUCUGGACAGGACUGAGAAGGACCUGAUGACAGCAAAGGACUUGGACAGGGAAGAGGGAAUCCGAGACGUUGUAUUAUUUGGACUCAUCAGCAAGGCUUCCAUGCGGUUAACACCCGCCCUGCUCCAGAGUCGGGACCCAGUGUGCCAGACAGAUCCAUCCCUGACCUAAAAAGUGGGGCUGGGAGAACAGAGUGUGGCUCUACCAUUGGCCCUGCUGUAUGGCAAGGGCUUUCCUGAGCCCGCGGGGAGGAGGCAUGGUGGUGCGCCCAUGGUCACCACACACAGCUCACCUGGAUGUGGACAGAGGAGGCAUCCCCAGAGCAGCCAAGGCAGGAGGAGAGCCUGGAGGAAGGCAGGGGAGCUGCGCCCCAUCCCUGCCCAGCCUCCAGGUGAGGCUGUGGGAAGGGUUUGUCACCUUCCCUCGGUGACAGGGACACGGAGAGGGUGGUGCUGCGUCCUCCCGGCGGGCCUGGAGACAUCCAUUAUUUAUGGAGCACUUGGGGAUGCUCAGAAGCGAGGCGCCACACAAGCAUGAAAUGUCAUUACAAAGGAUAUGAUUUAG